CAAAUAUUAAAUCAUUUUAGUUUAUACAAAAAUAUCAGUUUAGAUUGAUAAUUGUUAGUCCUGGUGUGGCUUUCUGGUGUUUCUAUAAGCCUUUACAAAACACAUCUUAAAAUGUGUUACUUCCAUAGAGCUGUAACCGCUAUUUACGCACUAUUAUUCCAACACCUUACUGUUUUUUUUCUUGUAGAAAUUCUACGAUAAUCCCAUACAGUGGAAGAUUUCCCGGACUGUUUCAUCAUCAGUGUUGUCUUUAAAAAUAAUUACUUUUGUAAGAAGUCAUUAUUUGUAUUCGUUUUUAAAAUUCUGACUUCCACAAAAUACAUAAUCUUAACAGUGUUUUAUAGUAGGAAGUGUGUGAUUUUGAAAAUGGCGAUGACAAAGCUAUUGAUAGAAAAGGACUGAUUACUGUCUGCAACCUGAAUCAAUAGUCCGUGCUCAGUUAUAAUGAGGCCUAAGUGCAACCCACUGUAAGGCCAGGGUGAAAUGUGAUUUCAGUGUCAGAGAAAACAACAGAAAGAGAAAAGGUCUUCCUCCUUGGCUUCAUGUCCUGCAGAGACGAAGAUCUGAAAGUGGACAAAAAUUUUGUGUGUGUUGACUUCUUUCGUUGAUCUGUCGCCAUUUAACUCCCAGACUUGCCUUUCCAUACAGCAAAAGAGCAAGUCCCCAGGGACAGCAGAGUGGCUGUGGCAGUGCAAUUGCUAUGCAUUCCUCAGGGAUUGGAGAGGUUCAGGCUCUGGGCUGUGACUGUGAGAAAACAGGAGCAAACCGUGGUGAUUCCUGGUCUGUAUGCCUCAUUUAAUUCCUUACCUGUAAGGCCAGCCACACUGUGCUUUGCUGCAGAGCCAUGUGGCAUGGUGCAUGAGACAUGAACCUUUGUGAUGGGAUCGCUGUCAAGUGCCCAGACUGCACUGAUUCCACCCCCAGUUGACGCAAAGGCCUGUGCAGAUCAUAGGCUCUGGGACAGAAUCACACUGCUCUGGAGAGCCAGCUGAACGCAUUGCUGUCAUGGAUUGGCACAAGGUCAGUGUUUAGAGAAGUGAGAGAAUUGAAAAUAUCUCCUUAGUUUUCCAUAACCCUGAUGCCUUGUGGGUUACAAAGGACAAAUAGCCAGUUGGUUGUGAUGCUAGCUCUCAAUUUGACUCCAUGUGUUUGAAGCUAAAACAAGUAUUUUAUAACAAGCCUCUUCCAUUCCUACUAGUGCGUGACCCCAUCAGAGCUGCAUCUUAAACAUAAAUCCUUUCGGAUUCUUUGCCAUCUAAGCCAGGUAUGUUUCUGUUCCUCCCACAUAAUUUCCUGUGUGGUUGGUACUGAAUUAAAGACUUGAUUCACAAGGAUGGGAAAAGAAUAGAUGACUCUAGCACACAUAAUGUUUUCAAGCACAAAUUAAUAAUUGGUGUGCCGGAGCAUUUGUAGGAAGUAACUUUUAUAGUGGUGAGAUAAAUUCAUAUAGUCUCCAAAGCUUUGGCAGAACCAAGCCCUGAAGUCCCUCUGUGUGGAUUUCCGUGAAGUAACUUGUGUUUGAUUUAGGUUGUAUCUUUCAUUUAAAUAUUGCCAGAGGCAAGGAAUCUGUGAGCAAUCCAGGAAAACUGUCCAUGUGAUAGUUCCCUCACUGUUGGAAACCCUUGCUUCUGCUCUGGACAGGCCUACUCAUGACAGCUUCCAGCUGUGGGAUCUCUCCUGCUUUUGUCUUGUGGAUGAUCAAACUUUUACUCCCAACCAGGACUCAGCUCAGCCCACAGCCAUCUCUUUAAGAGACUGAAGAGAUUGAAAUCUUGCAGUCUGUCACCAAAAGGCAUCCUAUUCUGAUUUGUAAGCACUAGUGUGCACGUUUUCUCUAUUUCGUCUCCACCUUAUCUGUUGGUCUGUGCUGCACAUACCAGACAUGAACAUGGUAUUCCAGCUGUUAUCACACUAAACCCAAAUACAGACAUGAUACAGCUUAUUUUGCUGAUGCCACAUUUAAGAAGCUGUUUAUCCCUCUCAGAUACUGUAACUCUAAAGCCUGGAAACUCAGGUUCAGCUGUGAUUCUCAUGCCUUUUUCAGCAUCUCCGACCCUUCCCCUCCAAUGCACAUAACGCCUAUCUUAAAACUAUGCUUUAUUAUUCCUACAAUAUGAUUUUUAACUUGGAUCAUGCUCAAACGUGUGUUGUUCACCCAAAUGCAAUUUUGCAAACUGGUUUGCUCCGCACCAGUGACACAUUCUUUAAUUUCCACCUCUUCUCUCUGUCUUGGUGUCAUCUGCAGAACUUUGUAGUAAUCCUUUUGUUUCUUGACAGUCCUUGAUAAAACAUCAGUUGGUGCAGAUAAAGAAGUGACCGAGCAGGGUUAUAGGAACAUUUUUUUCGGUUCAAAAAUUGUUGAUAAGUAGAUGCCGCCUUGAAAAUUCACGUCAUGCACUAGCCAUCCCAGGGUGGGAAAGGGCUAGAGGGAAAAUAAACAACUUGGACAAACCCCAGCUGAUUACCAGGGUCUGCCAGCGAGCAAAGGGAAGGGGUGCAAGGACUGAGGAGACUCUGAGCCAAACGUCCCAGGGUGGCACCUAGGGAGCAGUGCGGGCUGCCUGCAGUGCCCGAGCGCCCUUCCAGGAACACCAUGGUGCUGUGUUAGGGAUGAUUAGUUAGACAACCAUUGUGUAUGUGUCAUGCUGGGUUUAUAUUGUUCCGGUUUCUUAAUCAAUGUGUCCUGCUGCAACAAGUUGAAGGCCUUAAAGAAGUCCAGCAGUUUUGCAUCAGCUUCAUUCCAUUUAUCGCUCAAUCUUGUAAUCUCCUUGGUGAAAGAUAACAAGUCAGUUUGAAAGGGCCUCUUCCCAUAAACUCCUGUUGAUUGGCGUUAAUUAUGUCUCCCUCCCUUAAUUCUUUGUUAAUCUAGAUCCAUAUGAGUCAUUCCAUUUUACUGCUGGGACUCGUGUCAGGAGACAAGCCUAUAAAUACUUAGAUCUUUCUACCUUUUCCAAAAUCUUUCCCAACAUCUGCUUUCCUUUGGAGCUUCCCCACUGCCCAGAAAGUUACUGGGGAUCACACACAGCUGUCGUGCUGUGCUUGUGCAUUGAAGACAUCCUUGCUAAUCAGCCUGACAAAGCCAGCUGCAGUAUAUAUUCCACUGAAACAAGGGGGUUUUGUACAAUGAAUUAACUCUACAACCAUAAACUACCUUUGCAAAAGCAUGGGAAGAAAUAUUUCAUUUGCAUGUUUAUUUUGAGUUUCUGUAUCACAACCUACACAACUGUGCCUACAAAGGGCCUUUUUUACAUGCAUGGAUGAUUUAAAAAAGAUGAUUUAUAGAAGACCAGCCAGAGGGAUGCACAGCACAGAUGGGUUUUAUGUAUGGUUCCCAGCGUGGUGCUUCAUAGCACCUUUGUUCUAGUGGUAAACUACCUUUUGCCUUCCAUUCUCCUCAAACAAUGACAGAAACCCAAGAGAUGAACAGUGCCAUACUUAUUACUGUUACUGUAGAUGUGUAAUAAUAUCAUCACUUUUUUGUUUGUUUGUUUCAGAACAUCAAGGAGAUGACAAAUAGAUAACAUAUUCGGGCUUGUUUAAUAGCAAAAGGUAUCUGAAAUUGCUGGUGAGGGCCAGGUUCCCCAUGGCUGCCCCUGCGCAAGCCUGGCUGGCACUCCCCGCAUGAAGGACAUGCUCCCAGCUCAAGCUUUGGAGGAACGGGGAACGGGACGUCUUCAUCCCAAAAUAGUAAGGGCACAUGCUCUGCUUCUUCCCAGCCACGAGUGCCAGUCACAGCUUAGCCUUUUUUUCACUGAUGACAAUAAACAUUUUGGGAUUA
rnacentral:lncRNA from 1 species